GAAAGUAAAUAAGGGCGCAUGGCGGAUGCCUUGGCUCUCGGAGGCGAUGAAGGACGUGAUAAGCUGCGAUAAGCUUCGGGUAGGUGCAAAUGACCUUUGAUCCGAAGAUUUCCGAAUGGGACAACCCGGCAUUCUGAAGGAAUGUCAUCCAACCUGGUUGGAGGCUAACGCAGGGAACUGAAACAUCUUAGUACCUGCAGGAAAAGAAAAUAAAUAAUGAUUCCCCUAGUAGUGGCGAGCGAACGGGGAUUAGCCCAAACCACCCAUGUUACGGCAUGUGUGGGGUUGUAGGACCACGCUCUCGCAAGACAGUUAUUGAGAAGAAACGACUGGAAAGUCGUGCCAUAGACGGUGAUAGCCCGGUAUUCUAAGGUAACCGAAGCGUAGUGGUAUCCUGAGUAGCGCGGAGCACGAGGAAUUCUGCGUGAAUCAGCCGGGACCAUCCGGUAAGGCUAAAUACUCCCGAGAGACCGAUAGCGAACCAGUACUGUGAAGGAAAGGUGAAAAGCACUUCGAAUAGAAGAGUGAAAUAGUCCCUGAAACCAUGCGCCUACAAGCGGUCGGAGCAGCGUAAGUUGUGACGGCGUGCCUUUUGCAUAAUGAACCUACGAGUUACUUUUUCCGGCAAGGUUAAGCAUCUUGAGAUGUGGAUCCGAAGCGAAAGCGAGUCUGAACAGGGCGGAUAGUCGGAAGGAGUAGACGCGAAACCAAGUGAUCUACCCUUGGGCAGGUUGAAGGUUAGGUAACACUAACUGGAGGACCGAACCGAUAAGCGUUGAAAAGCUUCCGGAUGACCUGAGGGUGGGGGUGAAAGGCUAAUCAAACUUGGAGAUAGCUCGUACUCCCCGAAAUGCAUUUAGGUGCAGCCUUGAGAGUUACUAAUGUGAGGUAGAGCGACUGAUAAGAUGCGAGGGCUUCACCGCCUAUCAAGUCUUGAUAAACUCCGAAUGCGCAUUAGUUCUAUCUCAGGAGUGAGGGCAUGGGUGCUAAGGUCCAUGUCCUAAAGGAGAAGAAUCCAGACCAUCAGCUAAGGUCCCCAAAUAAACACUAAGUUGAACUAACGAAGUCAGAUUGCUAAGACAGCUAGGAUGUUGGCUUGGAAGCAGCCAUUCAUUUAAAGAGUGCGUAACAGCUCACUAGUCGAGGAGUUUGGCGUGGAUAAUAAUCGGGCAUAAGUGUUUUACCGAAGCUAUGGGAUCCUAAUGGAUCGGUAGGGGAGCAUUCCACUCAGCGUUGAAGGCGAAGCGUGAGCUUUACUGGAGCGUGUGGAAAAGCAAAUGUAGGUAUAAGUAACGAUAAAGGGGGUGAGAAACCCCCUCGCCGCAAGACUAAGGUUUCCUGAUCAACGCUAAUCGGAUCAGGGUUAGUCGGGUCCUAAGGCUCAGCCGAACGGUGAGGCCGAUGGCAGAACAGGUUAAUAUUCCUGUACUACCUAUAAGAGUGAUGUGGAGACGGAGGAGUGACAACGCCGCGGACUGACGGAAUAGUCCGUUAAAGGGUGUAGAUGUUGAUUAUCCCAGGCAAAUCCGGGAUAAGAGUCGAACCUGAUAGUAUACCAAUUUCCCCGGAAAACGGUAAUAGUGCGUGUAAACAUACUCCCAAGAAAAUCCGCUAAACUUAAUCUUAUAGGUACCCGUACCGUAAACGGACACACGUAGUCGGGUUGAAUAUACUCAGGCGCUUGAGUGAAUCACGGUUAAGGAACUAGGCAAAUUGACCCUGUAACUUCGGGAUAAAGGGUCCCUACCCGGUGACGGGAGGGCGCAGAGAAUAGGUCCAGGCAACUGUUUAACAAAAACACAGGGCUGUGCAAAAUUGAAAGAUCACGUAUACAGCCUGACACCUGCCCGGUGCUGGAAGGUUAAGAGGAGAUGUCAUCGCAAGAGAAGCAUUGAAUUGAAGCCCCAGUAAACGGCGGCCGUAACUAUAACGGUCCUAAGGUAGCGAAAUUCCUUGUCGGGUAAGUUCCGACCUGCACGAAUGG
rnacentral:rRNA from 1 species